GGUCUCAGUCCUACCCGAAGAUCGGUUUAUGAGCUCUGAGCUCGCUCCGUAAUGGGGAAGACUGGCUGGGUGACCAGCAGACGACCGAGGAGGUGAAUCACACACACAGUUGCAUAACGAGCGAGUUCCCAAUGUUCUGAACUUCCAGCACAGUUUCCUGAGCCUUCGUUAACUAAGUGAUUAGCCUUCCUGCCUCACAAGGUGCACGUCCGCGGCGCCGUCCUUAGGUGGAGCAAGGACGGACGGGCAAUGUGACGGAAAACUCUUAUAGAUGGCUUUUGGCGGCGUCACUGUCUGCUCGCCUCCCGCUGCUGAUGACGAGUGCUUGGGUUUACAAGAAUUCGUCACGAGAGGCUUAUGAAAGGAGGAAGAAAAAAUGUAUCUUAGCAAAAGAGGAGAUACACAUCAACGUGAAUGACGGGUGCUAUGAUGACAACCCGCAACUGUGGUCCGAAUAAGGACUGGCAGAGUGGCAGGAUGACAGGGCCUAAUCAGAAGGAAAAAGAGGAAGAGGAGGAAAGCAAAGAAACUGCAGAGAGAGAGAGAGAGAGAGAGAGAGAGAGAGAGAGAGUUGAUAAUUGAGCUAUAUUUUAUAUAACUAAUGAAAUGUGUACUACCACUUUUACCUUCAUAUUAUGUUAGGAUUCUUGGAUUUUCAACCCAAGAAAUUUGAUCCAUGUGUUUUGCUCAACCCGCCAAGCUUUUAUCUGAAUAUCUGGCCUUCAGACCUGCACCUAUACUCAAGGAAAUACAGUACAUACACACAUACAUUAUAUUCAAAGUUUUAAUAUAAUAUAUUAAAUAAAACUAUAAACAUCCAUUAUAUCUCAAUUUAUUUUUCCCCUUACAUAAGUUUAUGUAUAUGAAGAACAAGGUGAGGAAUUGAGGGGCCAGCAGAUCAAAGGGUACUGGCCAUUAGCACUAGCCUCCACCCAAUGCUACUUUGAAGGAGGGUUAGUCAAGAGCAGUGAAGUUACUUGUUGGUCACAUUUAUAUGGCCUUUUAUAUCACAAAGAAUCUGAAGCACAUCAUUGCAAUAACAGUUGUGCCAGC